rnacentral:rRNA from 1 species
UACGAGGGGGGCAAGCGUUGUUCGGAAUUAUUGGGCGUAAAGGGUGCGUAGGCGGUUUGGUAAGUCUUAUGUGAAAUCUACAGGCUCAACUUGUAGUCUGCAUGAGAAACUGCCGGGCUUGAGUAUGGGAGAGGUGAGUGGAAUUCCUGGUGUAGCGGUGAAAUGCGUAGAUAUCAGGAGGAACACCAAUGGCGAAGGCAGCUCGCUGGGACGGUACUGACACUGAGACGCGAAAGCGUGGGGAGCAAACAGG